rnacentral:rRNA from 1 species
UACGUAGGGGGCAAGCGUUGUCCGGAAUCAUUGGGCGUAAAGAGCGUGUAGGCGGCUCGGUAAGUCCGCUCUGAAAGCCCGGGGCUCAACCCCGGGAGGCGGGCGGAUACUGUCGGGCUAGAGUCCGGAAGAGGCGAGUGGAAUUCCUGGUGUAGCGGUGAAAUGCGCAGAUAUCAGGAGGAACACCAAUGGCGAAGGCAGCUCGCUGGGACGGUACUGACACUGAGGCGCGACAGCGUGGGGAGCAAACAGG